rnacentral:tRNA from 1 species
AACAAGAUGGUUGAAAUAUAAACAGUAAACUGUAAAUUUACCUAUGAGGAUAAACCUCUCUUGUAU